rnacentral:lncRNA from 1 species
CAGCUCUUCCGGCAACUGCAGGUAGCAAUGGGGUUGAAGGGAGAGGAAAGGUCAUCCCCCCCACACCCAUGCCACCUUACGCCAGACAAGUGGCGGGAUCAGCUCGCCCAUGAUUUUGCCCUUGGGGCCAGCUCACCUAUGCCUCCUCCACCAGGGCCAGCUCUACAGUGCUGCACAAAAGUGCAAGGUCUGUUCUCCUGAGUGCUGUGGCACGCAAGGGACAGGACCAGCUCACCCACACUCAUGACCCCAGGACCAGUGCUCCUGGCUGAUGACGGUGGUGAGGUACAGGCGAGGGCAUCACCCCAGCACCUGUGCCACCUCACACAGAUGAAUGGUGGGACCAGCUCUCCCUUGCUCUAUCCUCAGAGCUGGCUCACCUGUACCCCAGCCACCAGGACCAGCUCUGCUGUGCUGCCUUGUUGAGGUGCAGGGCCCAGUGAGAGACGGGGCCAACUCUCCAGAGGAAUACAUCCAAUGAAGGGAGGGGCCAGCCGAGCACAGCCUCUGAACAUCCACGAGGCAGUGUGAGCCACCAACAUCAACACCAACCCCUGCCAAUGCGUAGCCACAGACUCAGACAUGGCCCUCAGUGGCAGCUCAGGCUGGACCUCGCCCUGGCCCCAGGUAGCAGGAUAGCCACUUAGAAGAGGCUCCUCCUCUCCACCCUCAAGUCUCCAGUCCCAUCUCUCUACAUAAUACUAGAGCGGCUCCAUUUCUGUUACUCUCCCAUCUGACCACCAGAUAUUCGCAUGCUGUGGUGGCUCCUGCUGCAGCCUGGCCACAUGGCUGGGUGACACCCUCCAUGUGUGGUGUGGUGGCAGCUGUCUAUGACUCACCUGUGCCAUGCCCUGGAGGGCAGGUGUGGGAAGGCAUGGCGGUCUGCAGGUCUCUGUCUUCCUCUUCCUGAGCUGCUCUGCCUGGAUUUGAUUUGAUUUUUAUGUGUCUGAGGCAAAAAAAAAAAAAAAAAACAGCUUUGGCCACCAAGCCAGAGGCAUCAAGCUCGGAUGAACAAAGGACGGCCAUCUGCUCUGCCCGGCUGCUAGAAGAACAUCAUCACCAACGUGGUCAAAGCCUACUAAGGACCCGUCUGCUACUGAUCAAGGUCCUUUGUGCAUCGGCCAUUCCUGUGGCUUUAAAACCCUACAGCCCUGCUCUAUAUGUCAGUCACAGGCUCAGCGAAGCAGAGAAAAGUCAC